AUAUAAUUCAUGCAUUUGGAGGCUUUCAGAAAAGUUCUCCAAACUUACAAGAGUCUUCUAAAGCCAUGUGCAUUAUAAAGAACCAAGGUUCCCUCUCCCUUCGGAGGGCUUGCAGGAAGAAGCCUGCUUGCACUGUGAAUGAGAUUUUGGAUUUGGGAGCAGGUGUCCCCAAAGGGUUCCCAGCCUGUUUCUUGCCUUCCAGUCAAGAGUGGAGAGGGAUAAGCAGUCAGGAGGACGGGGGAAUGCUCUUUGAAUUUCAGCUUGAAGGGAGAAAGUCAGGUUAAGCUGCCUGUGUCUGGUUACAAGGGGAGGUACCUGUUCUGAUACCAAUUGCAUUUUGUCCUGAAGCUUUCUCCUUAUUUAUCAGUACAAAUCCUCCGUGUGGAGCGGUGUAUCUGUGUAUCUAGGUGCGCGCGCACGCGCGUGCACACACACACACCACAGAGUGC
rnacentral:lncRNA from 1 species